rnacentral:rRNA from 1 species
UUGGAGGGCAAGUCUGGUGCCAGCAGCCGCGGUAAUUCCAGCUCCAAUAGCGUAUAUGUAAAGUUGUUGCAGUUAAAAAGCUCGUAGUUGAAUUUCGGGGUUAGUAGGUUGGUCAUGCCUCUGGUAUGUACUGGUCUCACUGAUUCCUCCUUCCUUAUGAACCGUAAUGCCAUUAAUUUGGUGUUGCGGGGAAUUUGGACUGUUACUUUGAAAAAAUUAGAGUGUUUAAAGCAGGCUAACGCUUGAAUACAUUAGCAUGGAAUAAUGAAAUAGGACGUUCGAUCUUAUUUUGUUGGUUUCUAGGAUUGACGUAAUGAUUAAUAGGGAUAGUUGGGGGCAUUAGUAUUCAAUUGUCAGAGGUGAAAUUCUUGGAUUUAUUGAAGGCUAACUACUGCGAAAGCAUUUGCCAAGGAUGUUUUCAUUAAUCAAGAACGAAAGUUAGGGGAUCGAAGACGAUCAGAUACCGUCGAAGUCUUAACCAUAAACUAUGCCGACUAGGGAUCGGAUGAUGUUAAUUUUUUAAUGACUCAUUCGGCGCCUUACGGGAAACCAAAGUGUUUGGGU